rnacentral:rRNA from 1 species
GACGAACGCUGGCGGCGUGCCUAAUACAUGCAAGUUGAGCGCUGAAGGUUGGUACUUGUACCAACUGGAUGAGCAGCGAACGGGUGAGUAACGCGUGGGGAAUCUGCCUUUGAGCGGGGGACAACAUUUGGAAACGAAUGCUAAUACCGCAUAAAAACUUUAAACACAAGUUUUAAGUUUGAAAGAUGCAAUUGCAUCACUCAAAGAUGAUCCCGCGUUGUAUUAGCUAGUUGGUGAGGUAAAGGCUCACCAAGGCGAUGAUACAUAGCCGACCUGAGAGGGUGAUCGGCCACAUUGGGACUGGGACACGGCCCAAACUCCUGCGGGAGGCAGCAGUAGGGAAUCUUCGGCAAUGGACGAAAGUCUGACCGAGCAACGCCGCGUGAGUGAAGAAGGUUUUCGGAUCGUAAAACUCUGUUGGUAGAGAAGAACGUUGGUGAGAGUGGAAAGCUCAUCAAGUGACGGUAACUACCCAGAAAGGGACGGCUAACUACGUG